ACGGCGGACGGGUGAGUAACGCGUGGGUAACCUACCCUGUACACACGGAUAACAUACCGAAAGGUAUGCUAAUACGGGAUAAUAUAUUUGAGAGGCAUCUCUUAAAUAUCAAAGGUGAGCCAGUACAGGAUGGACCCGCGUCUGAUUAGCUAGUUGGUAAGGUAACGGCUUACCAAGGCGACGAUCAGUAGCCGACCUGAGAGGGUGAUUGGCCACAUUGGAACUGAGACACGGUCCAA
rnacentral:rRNA from 1 species